ACAUUAAUUAUGAGUCUGUAAAACAAAAGGCUGAUAUGAUGAUGAGAUAAACCGUACGAGAUCGCCAACGUCCCGUAUCCUGCACACGCCAUCGCAACGCCUCCAAGGCUCCUUCUAGAUCUGCCUCGGCCACGGAACGGUGCCGCUGGAGCUGCAGCCAUCCAGCCGACCGCCGGCCACCAGCCGAGCCGCCGCACGAAGGCUAUGAUAUUCAAUGUGAUCUCAUCAACAAAGCAAUCGUAUGGAGAAUUGGAAUGUUUUCAGUCCUAUUAAAUGCCACUUGAUUUGCAGAAGCUGUUCAAAGGGGUUACUGGUGGCCUCUCUGGAUUGUCAAAGAAUGUCACGUGCCAUGAAACACUGCCAAGAAAUAUUAGGAGCUGGUUUGAAAAAGGCCCAACGUAAUAGCAACUGGGAGCAACAGCCACUAACCCAAAAUCAGUGUCGCCUUCCAUCAAUCGUGGCAUCACCGAAGCCAGAAAUAUAGAAGACGCGGAAAAGUGGAGCGUCAGGGAAUCUUAAGAAAGGAGAGGUGUGAAGCACAGUAAGAUGGUCGAUGACGAAGAUGAAGGCCAUGCGGGUUCGUGCCAAUAGACCAGGAGCGACAAAGGACGAGCACUAGGACUUGGCCAAGGGACCAAAGAAACCAAGUGACUAGUAGUGGUGCUUGAUACCUUUGACAUGCACCGGCACGAGGACAUGGUAGAGUGGAUCGUGUUGCCGGUGCUGUCGAGGACUAGUGGGACACGUGUCCAGGACAUGGGAGACGUGCAUGUGGUACUCUACUCACGACAGUUUUGGUCGGUUAGCCUCAAAACCACCUAGCUGUUGGUUUCGCUGAGUUUGGACCAUAAAACACAGCGGUGCAGUUCGGAAGGACUGAACAACUCCCGCCGAGCAACUCGUGCGAGGCGGAUGGACCGACCAAAUCUUGCCUAGCUACUGAGUGACGUGGUGUGGUUUCGGCGAGAAUCGGAGGUGGCACAUGUGUAGGAUCUAGGACACCGGCUAGAGGGGGUGAAUAGACAGUUUUGACUAAAAUGAAAUAUACUGGACAAAUUUAAUUAAAAACAACAAUAGAUGCAAAUAUUUCUAGCCUUGAUGAGACAACAAAAUGUAAUGAGCAAUCUAAUCUAAUGUCACAAAGAUAAACAAUAUAUAAGUUAUCAACUACUUGUAAACAAUGUAAAAUAGUUACGAGAAGGACACCAAGAUUUAUCCUGUGGUAUCGGUGAUUUGCCAUUCACCCCUAAUCCACGUUGAGGUGGAAUUCAAGCUCUCACUUGCUCCUCUACCAAGACAUGGCUUGAUCUUUGAGCCAAGUGGAUAAGAACUCACUCAAUACCUCGAUUUCACUAGUGUCACCUUUGUCGCUCAGGCGAGGUAGGCACAAACCUCUCACAACAACUUCGCGGCUCCUCCACAUUCUUCACGGAGAGCUCGACGAGGACAACACCCAAGCGAUCUAGGAGGCGACAACCUCCAAGAGUAACAAGUCGAUGACGCUUGCCUGGU